rnacentral:rRNA from 1 species
UUUUCCGGUUGUUCCUGCCGGACCCUACUGCUAUCGGGGUGGGACUAAGACAUGCGAGUCGAGCGUCUCUAGUUAUGGUGAGACGCGGCAGACGGCUCAGUAACACGUGGCUAACCUACCCUCAGGACGGGGACAAACCCGGGAAACUGGGGCUAAUACCCGAUAGGCGAGGGCGUCUGGAAUGAUUCUUCACCCAAAGGACUUUGGAAGCAUGCUUUUCAAAGUCGCCUGAGGAUGGGGCCGCGUCCGAUCAGGUUGUUGGUGAGGUAACGGCUCACCAAGCCUAUAACCGGUACGGGCCGUGAGAGCGGUAGCCCGGAGAUGGGCACUGAGACAAGGGCCCAGGCCCUACGGGGCGCAGCAGUCGCGAAAACUCCGCAAUGCACGAAAGUGUGACGGGGCUACCCCGAGUGCCGUCCGCUGAGGAUGGCUUUUCCUCGGUGUAACCAGCCGGGGGAAUAAGGAGAGGGCAAGACUGGUGUCAGCCGCCGCGGUAAUACCAGCUCUUCGAGUGGUGUGGAUGUUUAUUGGGCCUAAAGCAUCCGUAGCUGGCUGGGCAAGUCCCCUGUUAAAUCCACCGAUUUAAUCGUUGGUGUGCGGGGGAUACUGUUCGGCUAGGGGACGGGAGAGGCAGACGGUAUUUUCGGGGUAGGGGUGAAAUCCUAUAAUCCCGAGAAGACCACCAGUGGCGAAGGCUGUCUGCUAGAACGCGCCCGACGGUGAGGGAUGAAAGCUGGGGGAGCGAACCGGAUUAGAUACCCGGGUAGUCCCAGCUGUAAACGAUGCAGGCUAGGUGUUUGGACGGCCACGUGCCGUUCUAGUGCCGCAGGGAAGCCGUUAAGCCUGCCGCCUGGGGAGUACGGCCGCAAGGCUGAAACUUAAAGGAAUUGGCGGGGGAGCACCACAAGGGGUGAAGCUUGCGGUUUAAUUGGAGUCAACGCCGGAAAUCACUAGU